rnacentral:rRNA from 1 species
GACGAACGCUGGCGGCGUGCUUAACACAUGCAAGUCGAACGAAGCAUUUAAGACAGAUUACUUCGGUUUGAAGUCUUUAUGACUGAGUGGCGGACGGGUGAGUAACGCGUGGGUAACCUGCCUCAUACAGGGGGAUAGCAGCUGGAAACGGCUGGUAAUACCGCAUAAGCGCACGGUAUCGCAUGAUACAGUGUGAAAAACUCCGGUGGUAUGAGAUGGACCCGCGUCUGAUUAGCUGGUUGGUGAGGUAACGGCCCACCAAGGCGACGAUCAGUAGCCGAACCUGACGAGGGUGAACGGCCACAUUGGGACUGAAGACACGGGCCCAAAACUCCUACGGGAGGCAGCAGUGGGAAUAUUGCACAAUGGGGGAAACCCUGAUGCAGCGACGCCGCGU